AUUAAAUGUAUUCCUAAUGUCACUUUUAUAAACAAAUAAAAGUUAAAACUUUACAAUAUUAUUGUAAAUUUGCAAUUGGAAGCUGCUACAGGGACAUUACAAUGUCAGCAAGGUUUUCUCAGAAAUUUAAGGCUUCAAAUAAAUACAAUAUGUUGAAAUUGCAUAGUCGCGAUAUAUAAUAAUUAGUAGUACUCAUACUUAGAUAUUUUUAGGAUUUGACCUCAUAACUAAUCAGCAAAAUGAAGAAGCAACAUAUUUUGUUACCGCUUAUAAGAAACAAUAGAAAUAGUACUGUAGAUUGAUAAAUAAAGAGUGAAAAUAAGGUUGACUAGAAGUUGAUAAAGUCCAAGGAAUUAAAAAACAAUAGAAAAAAAACGUAGACUAGUGUGAAGACUGAAAAGUGAAAUUAGAGUUUGAUUUAAGUUUUAAUUAGGUUUGGUGUUUGUGCUUGAACAUUUUUAAUGUCAAUUUGAAAGCAGAUUUAUAUAUAAGUGUAGAUUUUAUUCGUGAUUUGCUACUAGUUGGAAUUAUCUCUGUUUAUGUCCAACAAACAAUUUCAGUUUAAGUUAGAGUCAUAAAGGUUGAUUGUUUACAAUAAAUUUAUACUUUUAGAAAAUGAGAAUUGAAAAGCAAGUACUCAAUGAAAU